rnacentral:lncRNA from 1 species
AUGCGAGAAUCUUUUCCCUAUUUAUUUGAAUGGCAGAUUUGAGGUAUAUUUUAAAUUUCGAGGACAAAACUUUUAAAAAAAGAAAAGAAUGUGAUAUACUGAAUCUUAACAAAUAUGCAAGGUUGCAGUACGAAUUUUUAAUCAGUAUUUUUUUAUAGUGCUUAACUGAGUUGGAAACGUUUUGGCGUGAAAUAGACGCAAAAAUGAACUCAAAAACUCGAGAUUUAAUUUGUGGGGGA